AAUCAACGCUGGCGGCGUGCCUAACACAUGCAAGUCGAACGCGAAAGGGGCUUCGGCCCUGAGUAGAGUGGCAAACGGGUGAGUAACACGUGGGUGACCUGCCUUCGAGUGGGGGAUAACGUUUCGAAAGGAACGCUAAUACCGCAUGACAUCCCGCUCUUGGAUGAGGGGUGAUUAAAGCCGGGGAUCGCAAGACCUGGCGCUUGAAGAGGGGCCCGCGCCUGAUUAGCUAGUUGGUGGGGUAACGGCCUACCAAGGCGACGAUCAGUAGCCGGCCUGAGAGGGCGGACGGCCACACUGGGACUGAGACACGGCCCAGACUCCUACGGGAGGCAGCAGUGGGGAAUUGUUCGCAAUGGGCGCAAGCCUGACGACGCAACGCCGCGUGGAGGAUGAAGAUCUUCGGGUCGUAAACUCCUGUCGAGCGGGACGAACAUCUUCCGGGGGACAAUCCCGGAGGGCUGACGGUACCGCUAAAGGAAGCCCCGGCUAACUCCGUGCCAGCAGCCGCGGUAAUACGGGGGGGGGCAAGCGUUGUUCGGAAUUACUGGGCGUAAAGGGCUCGUAGGCGGCGCGCUAAGUCAGACGUGAAAUCCCCCGGCUCAACCGGGGAACUGCGUCUGAGACUGGCGGGCUUGAAUCCGGGAGAGGGAUGCAGAAUUCCAGGUGUAGCGGUGAAAUGCGUAGAUAUCUGGAGGAAUACCGG
rnacentral:rRNA from 1 species